GGAGAGGAGAGGAGAGGAGAGGAGAGGAGAGGAGAGGAGAGGAGAGGAGAGGAGAGGAGAGGAGAGGAGAGGAGAAAUACAGGGGCAGGGGGUGUGUGCCAAACUCCUUCUUUGCUAAGUAGAAAGCUUCUGAAUUUCAAGCAGAAAGUGGAAGGAGCUUCACAGAGCACUAUCUUGGGCUGCGUGUGCAGAGCGUAGACAAUGAAAAUCUCCGCCCCCUCCCCCAUGCUCUCAAGUCUACAAGAUUUUUUUCUUUCCUUCACAACGAUGGAAGCUAUGUAAAAAUCAAAUACACAGAGAUGUACAUACUUUUUUUUAAAGCACAGACUAACAAACCGAAGGACCUGACCAUGGAUUAUUCAAGGACUCACCUGCUAGACGGCUCGUGAUCAUUGCCUUCCUUUUGGAAGAACACCGAUAAGGAAACCUCAAAAAAAAACCUUCCUGGACUUUUGAGAAGGAAAAGAUGGAGAUGGGACAAAAAGAGUGAAAAGAUCAACAAGACACAACACUGGCCACAAGACUACUUUGGGCAAAUAAUGAAAGCAGAUGAAAAAUAAGUUUCUUCACAGGUCAAUCUAGCCUUGGAGCAGCAUAUACAGAGAGAGGUCAGAGCUGAGGGAGUGUCAGAGAGGAACACGAGAGAGAGAGAGAGAGAGAGAGAGAGAGAGAGAGAGAGAGAGAGAGAGAGAGAGAGAGAGAGAGAGAGAGAGAGANNNNNNNNNNUCAUGCAGAUGCAGUUCAUAGUUCCUUGCCUACUACUGUAGAGAAGUCCACUCUUUGACAGUAAUCAACAUAGUAACUUCUGUUGUGCUUUG
rnacentral:lncRNA from 1 species